rnacentral:rRNA from 1 species
AGUGAACGCUGGCGGUAGGCCUAACACAUGCAAGUCGAACGGCGGCACAGGAGAGCUUGCUCUCUGGGUGGCGAGUGGCGGACGGGUGAGGAAUACAUCGGAAUCUACUUUUUCGUGGGGGAUAACGUAGGGAAACUUACGCUAAUACCGCAUACGACCUACGGGUGAAAGCAGGGGAUCUUCGGACCUUGCGCGAUUGAAUGAGCCGAUGUCGGAUUAGCUAGUUGGCGGGGUAAAGGCCCACCAAGGCGACGAUCCGUAGCUGGUCUGAGAGGAUGAUCAGCCAAACUGGAACUGAGACACGGUCAAGACUCCUACGGGAGGCAGCAGUGGGGAAUAUUGGACAAUGGGCGCAAGCCUGAUCCAGCCAUACCGCGUGGGUGGAGAAGGCCUUCGGGUUGUAAAGCCCUUUUGUUGGGAAAGAAAUCCAGCUGGUUAAUACCCGGUUGGGAUGACGGUACCCAAAGAAUAAGCACCGGCUAACUUCGUGCCAGCAGCCGCCGUAA